AAAAGAAGCAGCAGCAGCCCUGAGUUAUUCAAUCACUUACCCAAAGUCACAGGACAAAUGGAGUUGUCCCAGAUCCUGGAGGUGCUAAAGCCAACACUAGGAGAAACACCACUAAUAGUCCAAUUUAUCCUGGGGAAAAAGAAUUCCCCAGGAAUAUCCCUUAUUAGAAAAAUUCUUUAAGCUCAACAGAGCCAAUUUUCCCAUUAUUAGAAGCAGUCCCUGUUCUUUCCAGUGGACUCUGAUGUAUGUGGAGGUCAUGUCACAUGACAAGUGAAUCUUAUUAUUUAUUUAUUUAUUUUCGGUAAGUAAUCUCUACACCCAAUGUGGGGCUCAAACUCACAGCCCUGAGAUUAAGAGUCACAUGCUCUACCCACUGAGCCGGCCAGGCACCCCAAGUGAAUCUUUAAAUGCUAAAUCAGACACAAGUGUAACGAUGUUCACACUCAGAAAAGAAUUUGGAAAAUGAAGCCUGGGAAGACUAUAUUCCUAUUUCCCAAUGAAGACUUUCCCAUACUAAUUAAAUGAUUACACUUCCCUUCGUCUCCUCUUCUUCCUUUGCUUCUCUCCUUCUUUUUCUCCCUCUCUCCUUCCUCAGGUUGAAGCGUUCGUUAUUUAAGGCAAAUGUAUAUAUUUCCUGACUCCACGAUGUUGAUGGGCCCAUAGGAAUACAAGAGGUUCUGGAACAGUGGGAACAGAGAGGAAAUUUUAAGAAUAAUAAGCACCUGCUAUCAAAGAAUCUGCCUGGUGAUUUUCUUUGGUUUAUAUCAGGUCUCAGCUGCAGAAGGGGAUGUCGAUUUGGAAAGUGUUGCAAGAAGACACACCUGUUGUGCCGCUGCUGUGGGCUAAGACCUACCACCUUCGGAAGUCAACCUGUGGCAAAUGUGGCUAUCCUGACAGGUGGAAGAAGAAAUGUUACUGGAGUGAGUGCCAAGGCUAAAAGACGAAAUAUUGUAUUCCACAGAUUCUGGCCUGGAUUUCAUGAAGGAACAGCGCUGAAA
rnacentral:lncRNA from 1 species